UACGUAGGCAGCGAGCGUUGUUCGGAAUUACUGGGCGUAAAGAGUGUGUAGGCGGUGCUCUAAGUUCGGUGUGAAAUCUCCUGGCUCAACUGGGAGGGUGCGCCGGAAACUGGAGUGCUUGAGCGUGGGAGAGGAAAGCGGAAUUCCUGGUGUAGCGGUGAAAUGCGUAGAUAUCAGGAGGAACACCGGUGGCGAAGGCGGUGGUCUGGGCCGGAACUGACGCUGAGGAGCGAAAGCGUGGGGAGCGAACAGG
rnacentral:rRNA from 1 species